AAUGAACUGGCAGAAAAAGGUCUUCUUGCAGAGGUGCAAAGCAACCUGCCUCCUGAUGCUAGACUGGAGCCUGCAUUGUGUAUUCACGCGGCUCCCUACACUGACAGCUUAUUGCAGGCACUGGGAGGCAAUCUCAGUGCAGUGCCAGACCCAUGUAGCAUUCCUCUGAAUGUUUUAUGCAGUCAAACCUAUGCCUCUGAUCCUGAGAUGGAACAAGUUGUCAUCCUGACACUGAGUGGAAAUGAAGCCAUAAAGAAUGCCGGAGACCUUCUUCGCCAAAUCCUUUGCCCUUGCAACAAGAAGUCACCUGAAAAAUCAGAUGGGUUGGAUCCAGGAUUUGAGCUUCUGGGCCUCAAGUGGUUGCCCUGUCUCACUCGAAGUCAGGCCAAAGAAGUAACCCCUUUUGAGGUGGGAGAUACAUCCUGGCAAAGAAGCAUUGAUAAGCUGACAUCCCGCCCAGCCCUUGUAUGUGCAUUACGGAGACUCAAUGCCUUUGCGGUUCUUGCUGAGACACUGAAAAGACUAAUGCCACCUGGGAACAAGCUAAGCACCGACAUUCAUCACCUACAGAGAGUGAUGGCCUUGACCCCAGAAAUGGCCUUCAGACAGGCAAUACUUUUCUUCUGUGAGAAAGAUUUUA